rnacentral:rRNA from 1 species
UACGAAGGGGGCUAGCGUUGCUCGGAACCACUGGGCGUAAAGCGCACGUAGGCGGACUCUUAAGUCGGUGGUGAAAUCCUGGAGCUCAACUCCAGAACUGCCUUUGAUACUGAGGAUCUUGAGUUCGGGAGAGGUGAGUGGAACUGCGAGUGUAGAGGUGAAAUUCGUAGAUAUUCGCAAGAACACCAGUGGCGAAGGCGGCUCACUGGCCCGAUACUGACGCUGAGGCACGAAAGCGUGGGGAGCAAACAGG